GGCGGUGUUUUAGUCUAUUUAGAGGAACUUGUUUCUUAAUCGAUAUUCCUCGUUUUAUCUUACUUAUUUUUGUAUUCAGUUUGUAUAUCGCUGUUAUAAGUUUAUUUUAUUAGAAUUUAAAUUUACUUAAUUUAUUAAUUUAAUUUAUUUCAAGUCAAGGUGCAGCUUAUGUAUAAGUGAAGAUGAGUUACAAUAUUUUUGAAUAAACGGAUUUUGUUUUUAAAAUAUAUUUUAUUUGAAUGAAGGUGGAUUUAAUAGUAAUUUCAUUUAUAGUGGUGAUUUGAUUUUAGCUCUGAGAUAAGUACACAUCGCCCGUCGCUCU
rnacentral:rRNA from 1 species